AUGGGGGUAUAUAUAUGUCUACUACCCUAAGUGGGGAGAAUGAAUAAAUAAGAACUUUAUAACUUAAAUAAGAAAUUUUACAACAUAAUUGUCAAUCUGCAUAAGUACUAAGCUGCUGCAACUUGACUAUGUGCCAAUCUGCAAAAGUGCGAAGUUUCUCUUUCUCAUCUUAUUUCAUUUAUUAGUUCCUUAUGUAAUAUACCCUUUUAAUCCAAAAGAAUGUUUUUUUAUAAUCUACCUAUAAAGGUUUAUAAGUAUAUACGAGUUGUUCCCUGAUUUAUUUUUAUUUUUAUUUAGAAGAUGCAACUUUGCUUGCAUUUAAGGCGCUCCCUUUUCUUAUGAUAGCACCUCCACAGAAGGGCUUGAAGAGUCCAAGAAUUUGGCUUUAUUUUAUAGAGAAAUGGAUGUACACCUCAGUCUUGAAAGCUCCCUUAAGUUAUUGAAGAAGGAGAAAGUUUUUCUACUGAUUUUAUUCAAGUGUUGCGGCACUCUAUUUAUAAUUCAAAUUAUAACUCUAAUUAUAAGUCGAUAAUACAGCUAUACGGUUGGAAGCCAUACCGAGUAUUAGAUUUGCUUUUGAGUUGCUGCUAGUCUCUUAUUAUGUAUUUAAUGUCAAUUUUCCUCAUGAACUUAUUUGUGUAUAUGGAUUUAUGGGAAAUUUGCUUGGAAUAAACAACAAAAGAAUUAUCGUCAAUUCCUUUUAAAGAAAGUAUUGCCAAAAGUUCAAGAUUAAAUUAAGCAAUAUGUUUG